rnacentral:rRNA from 1 species
UACGUAGGGGGCAAGCGUUGUCCGGAUCAUUGGGCGUAAAGCGCGUGUAGGCGGCUCGGUAAGUCCGCUCUGAAAGUCCAGGCUCAACCUGGGAUGCGGGUGGAUACUGCCGGGCUCGAGUCCGGAAGAGGCGAGUGGAAUUCCCGGCGUAGCGGUGGAAUGCGCAGAUAUCAGGAGGAACACCGAUGGCGAAGGAGCUCGGCUGGGACGGUACUGGACGCUGGAGCGCGAAAGCGUGGGGAGCGAACAGG